rnacentral:tRNA from 1 species
AGUGGUUAAGCACUUGACUGUGAAACAAAAGGUUGGUGGUUCAAACCCACCAGCCACUC